UACGAAGGGGGCUAGCGUUGCUCGGAAUUACUGGGCGUAAAGCGCACGUAGGCGGCUUUCUAAGUCGGAGGUGAAAUCCUGGAGCUCAACUCCAGAACUGCCUUCGAUACUGGAGAGCUUGAGUCCGGGAGAGGUGAGUGGAACUGCGAGUGUAGAGGUGAAAUUCGUAGAUAUUCGCAAGAACACCAGUGGCGAAGGCGGCUCACUGGCCCGGUACUGACGCUGAGGCACGAAAGCGUGGGGAGCAAACAGGG
rnacentral:rRNA from 1 species